CAGCCUUCAAUCACAUCUUAACUUUUUUGUUUUUCCAAUUGGGCGUUUUUCUUCUUCUGCUGAUCCAUUCUUGCAAAAUUUUACCUCUAAUUUUCAACACCAAAUAAAUGUAAAAAGUGACAAAAUCUCCCUAUGAAUAUAUUUAAUUGCAGCUACAUGUGUUUUGUCUUUUUUUACGCAUAUGACAGAAACGCAUGGCAGCAUUUUAACUAAUACAAAUAUCAAAGGGCCCUGUACUGUAUGUUGGUGGCUUCAGGAGGUGCAGUCCUCGCCGUGCAUAACAAUUGCACCUGUCAGUGUGGACCGCGGCAAAAUUUAUGACCGCAAAUGUUAUGGUUGUAAACGGCCUCAGAGAGGAAUGAAAGGCAAAACACUCCUCAAGAGUCGCAGCUCUCAGAAGUGUAAAACUAAGCGUAGGUGGAAGGCAAGGGAAAGAAUUUCAUACUCGGCGACUUCUCCCAUGCAGAGGCUCGGCUUAUAAAUGAUGCCUCCAUUCCGGCUGAGUGCGAGUCUGCAGCUUAGACGCAGAGGGGAGGACAAAAACGGAGCUAAUCCACUGGUUUUAAAUGAAGCAUUUUGGCGGUGACGCAUCUUGUAAUGUGGAAAUCGUGGAGUGAAAUGGUGAAAUUCUUCCAGAUUUUACAUUGUAUAAUUUGCAUGUUUUUUUUCUUUUACUAACGUCUGAGAUGUUUAACAUGUAUAUUGCAUCAUGUUCUCUCAUUCAUCCUUAUUUAUUCGGGCUACAAACGAAAAAGGAACUCGCUGAAAUUGGACUCUGGCCUGCGUAAAUAAUUACAGGCUCAGUUAAGGCCAUGCUUCAUGUCUGUUUUCGUGAUUUAAGCCUCCCGCCAAACACCGUGAGCGUAAAUGUGUAGCCUAAUAACAAAUCACCCUUUCACCUUGUUAGCAGUUGACUGUGUCGUCCACUCCCUUCAUUAAAGAAGUGUUACUCACCGAAAUGUGCGCAGAUCUGUUUUAUGUCCCUCACGCAUUCAUCGCUGCUUCCAUCUCGACCUAGAAGACAAAUAAAGUUUAGUAAAAAUGUAGGUAUGGGAAUUAUUGCGAUGAAAAUAAACAUUAACAGGCCCAAUCUGUGCCACACUUUUUUCAAAAAUGCUGUUUAUCAUAUUACUAUUAUUUUUUUUUAAAAAUAGUAAUUAUCAAAAUUCUAAUUCUUACUGGCCAAUGAAUUCAAAAGUCUUUUUAAAAACCUGGAAAGCUCCACCUAUGACAGAUUUUUUUUAAAGUUACUGCUACAAUGCUUGAGAGUGAAAAGUCCUACAUGUGCACUUUUUAUACAAAGAGCCAGGCCAAAUAUUUAGCAGCCAUAAGCUUUUUUAGGUGACCUCUGGGUCAUUCAGCAUUAAGCCAAAGUUUAAUGAACAACGAGCUGUUUGGCUUCAAGUGGAUCCAAGUCUCAAAUAAAUUCAAAGCAGUUUUUCCUGCGGCGACAGAAACAGGACAAGAUGCUGCACCGACGGCAAGAAAAGCAGAAAUCCAACAUUUUAAGUUGAACUAUUUAAAAGGGAAAUAAUUCCUAUCUGGCUGCUGGAAAUUUGGAGGAUAAAUGGUUCAAAAAUAUGGCGAUGGAAAUGUGGGAUUUCUUCGUGUGGAAUAUUUGUGAAAGCUGCUUCGAUAAUCUGCGCCUCCACAACUCUUGAGCACACUGAGCUACUAGUCGCAGACAUGGUUCCUCUUUUCACACGGCUGUGUUUUUCGCCUACGCGCUGUUACGACAUUUCCAUAUACCGGUGGAGACAGUAUUCCCGAAAGAAUGGAAGGACUCGCAUUCAACUACCAAUAAAAAGCGAACAAGGUAUCCUUAUUCCAGAAAAAAAAAUCACUGGCAAUCAAUCACCCAGUGAAAUAUACAGGAAUUCAGAAACGGACAGGCCUGUUCAGAUUUGGAGCUAACAUUAGGAUUUUUUGGGGUGUUUCGGGGAAGCUUUAUGAUGACAAAUAAAGGCGCUGCCGUUAGAUACAA